ensembl:lncRNA
UGCAUUCAGUUAGCAUACAAAGCAAUUAUGAUGCACAUCUUGAAAGACAGCCAUGAAAUGUUCAAAAACAUGUUUUUCUCCCCAAUACUUCAAUAAGAACUUCAGGGGGCUGGUAGGAAUAAUAUACACUCCUCUACGUAUUUAUUUGGACAGUGAAUCUAAAACUUUUAAUUUGGUUUUAUACUCCAGCAUUUUGGACUUGAGAUUAAAUGUUUUAUACGAGACGACAGUGCAGAAUGCCACCGUUUAUUUGAGGGUAUUUUCAUACAUAGCCAUUUUAGCGGCUAGACAUGAAUGCACUUAUAGUAUUCGAACAAAUUCACUUACAGAUGCACAAAGGUUCAUGACCCAAAAACAAUCCUCUCACCAUUACCAAUAACAUGGGAGGUUAGCAUAAUUUUUUCAGGGGUGGGGGAUAUACUAUUUAUGCCUGUAACUUUCUCACUCAUCAAUAUUCACAAUUAAUUAAUGAUUAUCCCUAAUCAUGGUAGGAUCCACAUUAAUGUAGAAGUUUUCAGAAACAUAUAUUUUUAUUUACAAUUAAAGUGACUCACAUGACAACCAUUAAACAUUCAUUUAUAUUGGUCACAACAUCAUCCCAAACACAACCAAAACAAACUGCAAAUGCAUCCAACAAAUUUGUAAAGUCACAAGCUUGAUGUAGUCAUUGCGUGUAGGGAUAUGGGACCAAAUACUAAACUUUUCUCUCAUUGUAAUACACUAUAAGUGAAUUUGUCCAAAUACUUACUACACCUUCAAAUGGGGGGGACUAGUACACAAAGUUCUUUCAUUUCUAAACAGUAAAAAAGAAGUAUGAAAAUAUCCUCAAAUAAAAAGGCGACAUCAUGUACUGUUGCCUCAUAAAACAUUUGAUCUCAAAUCCCAAAAGCUAGAGUAUAGAGCCAAAUUAAAAGUUUUAGCUUCACUGUCCAAAUAAAUAUGUAGGGAAGUGUAGUAUCCUCAUCACACUACCAAUGGAGCAGAGAUCAUCACCCCUGUGAGCAAUCUAAUCGAGCGCAAGAACAGUGUGUGUGCCCUCAAUGAGCAUUAAAAAAAGAGCCUUGGUGCUUUCCUCCAUACGCCAACCUGUGAGUGUUUGCAGGUUUAAAAAAAUUAUAUUUUAAGGCAAAUACAUUACUUAAAGUGAUCCUGCAGAGGUUUUGUAUAAUUUCAGCCAGUAUUUUUGAAAGGAGUGCUCACAAGCCAAAACGGAUCCCGAAAAUUGUGUACUACAUCCUGCAUUUUGUAGAAAUGCUGUUUUUUUUGCAAUUCAUAUGUUACGAAUUCAAAUUUAUACAAUAUCUUUUACGAAUUUGUAAGCGCUUAAGAUCCUAGACUGCAUCUUUAAUCUUCUACAAAGCAAUAGGAAUAAAUUAUGUUUUUCUUUACCAAAACAAGAGCCGAAAGAAAAGCAAGGUGGUGGUGGGGUUAUAGAAUAAAACAUUUAAAAAGACACUUGAAUAAACUGUCAAUCCUCUUAACGGUUAUCUGAUCAAAUAAAUACCAUUUUACAUUUGGUAUAAUCUUUGCUACAGUUUCCAUAAACUGAUGAUGGCGCUGUGCAAAAGCCAUUCUGAUAGUAGGACAUUAUUGAUAAGGCAUCAAAGGUGUAAUAAUGGCGUAUACAGAGGACUGAGUUUGUAAAAGACAGAACUUGAAUAUUGAAAUGGAAUAUAGCAAACAAUCAGUUGGUGGGACAUUGUGGAGAACUGUGGAAACAAAGAAAAACAUCAGCAAGACGUGCAAUGGAAAUGAGUUGGAUCCUGUACCUCCUGCAUUGUAUCACUGUUGUUCAUUUCCCCAAUCAAACAACGGCAGACAUCAGCACAAAUGGUGAUUUGAUGUGUCAACGUGAUCAUUGUUAAACUUAGGCAUCAGUUCAGUAAACCACCCUACCACCGAUAAAAAAAUAAAGCACACACAAAAACAAAACAAAAUGGUUGAUUACUAGCUAUCCUAUUUCAAAUCGAUGGUGAGCCUACUCAUAAAUCUAAGAGUGGGCUUAUUUUAAAACUAAAAUAUAGGGUUGGAGUAUUAGUUAGAAUUAUCACUAAUAUACUUUAACAGUCACUUCUGUUUUCAUUUGUUUCUCAUGUCAUGGACUGCACUAACCAGACAAAGCUUUUAUAUUAGUUAUUAUUUCAUUAACAUUAAAAUCAAAUCAAAUCAGAAUUUAUUGGUCACGUACACGGUCUGUAGAUGUUAUCGCAGGUGCAACGAAAUGCUUAUGUUUCUAGCUCCAACAGUGCAGCAAUAUCUAGCAAUAAAAUGUACAUUACCAAGUACAUACAUGUAUAACCUUGCUGUUAACUAGCGACGUCUCUCUACCUACUGUACCUCAUUCCUAGUUCGCGCACUCUUGCGCUCUCCCUCACUACCCUGCUUUAUGGUAAAAUACAUAGCACAAUCCUUCCUGAAAUACAUUCACUGUCAUAUUACCAUACCUUCCUAUCAGUACCGGGGUAAAAAGUGCAACGUAGCAACAUUAAAACACUUGGUUGUUGUUACGAUUUAGAAUCUAAUCUACAGAUAAUCUACACUUAACAGUAUUCUGUUCCUAAAAUAACAAUACUCAACAUUAAUAUUUUGCAGAUUCUGCUGUGUGUGUGUGUGUUUGUAUAUAGUACAUAUUCAUUGAUAUUUAUCAAAAUACAUCAGUAACACAGGUGUCAGCAGACUACUUAAUGUUGAAUCCUAACUUGAGAUCCUAAUCCUCUGAAAGUCCUCCAUCACCCCAGGGCAGGGCCAGGAGGGUACAACAGAAACAUUGUAAGUUUCUUAACCGCAGCAAUCUUUAAACACAACAGGAACAGAAAGAGGAUAUAUCUGGGACACAGUGCAUUCGGAAAGUAUUCAGACCUCUUUACUUAUUCUACAUUUUGUUACGUUAGUGUCAUGCUGUUUAUUAUCUAUGCAUAGCCACUUUUACCCCUAACUACAUGUACAAAUUACCUUGACUAGCCUGUACCCCUGCACAACCUGCACAUUGACUCGGUACCCCCUGUAUACAGCCUCGUUAUUGUUAUUUUACUUUUUAUUACUAAAGUUUAUUUAGUAAAUAUUUUCUUAACUAUUUCUUGAACUGCAUUGUUGGUUAAGGGCUUGUAACUAAGCGUUUCACAGUAACCUGUUGUAAACUAAGCGUUUCACCUGUUGUAAACUAAGCGUUUCACCUGUUGUAAACUAAGCGUUUCACCUGUUGUAAACUAAGCGUUUCACCUGUUGU